AUGCUGGUCCUGUUCCGCGGCUGUGCUCUCCUCGCCGUGGGCUGCCAUGUGUUUGCGCAUCCCAGGACAGUUGACAUUGAUUGUGCAGGAGACAGACCGAGACACAUUAGUACCCAGCUCGCUCCCCGCCAUUGAAAAACACAUUAACUGGCUGCUUCAGGAGCCCUGUCUGGUAACCAUGGCGAAGCACGCGGGGAGGGAGGAGGCGGCGGCUGAGUCGGGGCAGUGGGUUCACACUCUCUCUGGGGUUGUCUCUCUCAAACGCUGCUAUCCUCCGGCCACGUCUGUCAUUUCUUGCAGACUGGCUGUCUUUCGUGAACUCUUGCUCCGAGCCGCUCUCGCCAGCACAAUUUGCAUAGUAGUUUGUCUCUGCUGAGGCUUCUCUCAUUGAUGCUGACCUCAUCACUCUGGCCUCGCCGCACUCCACCCGCUUGUCCUGCGCACCCCACUAGCCUCUAAUUUCCUUAAGAUUGGGUUUUUUGAUUGUAUUUCUGACUGGAUAUUUUUUUCAGUGUUACAGCCUUUCACAUGAGAGGAUGCUGUUGAAACCACAAUUCUUGAGAUCACGAGUGCCCACUUGUUUUCCCCUCAAACUCUUGCAACAAACACAAGCACACAAUGUUUUUUACCAUCCUGAAUGCAUCUCACCUCAAACAUUCAUCUAGGCAGCAGCACAUUUAAAGAACAAGUGAUUGUAACUGUUUUUUGUCAGUAUUGUCCGUAUCAGUAUUUUUUUUUUAAUCAAUGGCCGUCGUAUAGUUCCAUAAUGUACUGCGACAGAUCAUAUAACAGCUAAGGUCAAAGGAGCCAAUGGUUUCAAGCAGUAAUUAAAGAUUGGUUUCAGAAAGAUUUCAGAUUGGUUUUAGAAAGUUAGUGAGUUUGACAGCCAUCAGCUGAAGUGUGUGCCCUCUUUGUGCACCUGAAUUCUAAAUAAAGACUAAAACCAUUGUGUGUGUGUCUCGUGUGGAAACAAGCAGAGUGAUCUGCCACAGUAGCGCGACAAAAACCAAAACGAAGAUAUUCACGCAGAGGCUUUCUUCAAAGGUACUAUGGCCUGGUUCAAUCCACUUCAUGACGUGCUGUGUCACAGCAGGAGAACACAGAGGUCUACCAUCGCCCAUGGGAGCCUUGGCUAGCUCUUGAAUCAGCUACAGGACCAUCUGGAUUCUAAGGACCUGCCAUUGAAGUUCCCUCUCUCUGUAUCACAAACCUCAGACAGUUGUUUCUUCAGUGCCAUCUCAGAUUGUGGACUGUUCCUCGCCACAGUGAUCACCUGAAUCUUAUUCAUACACUUAAACGCUGUUUCUAUGUCUUUUCCUUUUUUUCUGGUCCUGAUCUUGUGAUGGAUGAAACAUUCCAGGUGACUGGGAGUAAGUGUCAUAAGCAAGUCACUAGUUAAUAAAAUAAAUUAUCUCAAUAAAACCAGCUUGCAUUUUGAA